AACGAACGCUGGCGGCAGGCUUAACACAUGCAAGUCGAGCGCCCCGCAAGGGGAGCGGCAGACGGGUGAGUAACGCGUGGGAAUCUACCCAUCUCUAUGGAAUAACGCAUGGAAACGUGUGCUAAUACCGUAUACGUCCUUCGGGAGAAAGAUUUAUCGGAGAUGGAUGAGCCCGCGUUGGAUUGGCUAGUUGGUGGGGUAUAGGCCUCCCAAGGCGACGAUCCAUAGCUGGUCUGAGAGGAUGAUCAGCCACACUGGGACUGAGACACGGCCCAGACUCCUACGGGAGGCAGCAGUGGGGAAUAUUGGACAAUGGGCGCAAGCCUGAUCCAGCCAUGCCGCGUGAGUGAUGAAGGCCCUAGGGUUGUAAAGCUCUUUCACCGGUGAAGAUAAUGACGGUAACCGGAGAAGAAGCCCCGGCUAACUUCGUGCCAGCCGCCGCCGUAAUAC
rnacentral:rRNA from 1 species